GAAGUAGAUAAGUUCCGAGUCGCAUUUCCUCAAACGGAAACCGACCGAUGGGUUGUUCUGGAAACGGAACGGCCUCCCGCUUUGGAAAGGGACUGCAUGAUUUUUGUG
rnacentral:ncRNA from 2 species